CAGAGGAUGCAAGCGUUAUCCGGAUUUAUUGGGUUUAAAGGGUGCGCAGGCGGGGACGUAAGUCAGUGGUGAAAAGCUGCCGCUUAACGGUAGUCUUGCCAAUGAUACUGCGUUUCUUGAGUAUGGUUAAGGUAGGCGGAAUGUGCAGUGUAGCGGUGAAAUGCAUAGAUAUUGCACAGAAGGCCGAUUGCGGAGGCAGCUUACUGAGCCAUAACUGACGCUGAGGCACGAAAGCGUGGGGAUCAAACA
rnacentral:rRNA from 1 species